rnacentral:lncRNA from 1 species
UCAAAAUCAUCUCCCUUUUUAUUUUGUUAUUAUGAAAAUAAUUUGAUUUAAUAUUGGUUUAAGGUUUGCAAAGAAAUGACGAUUGUCUAACUGACCGAGUAAGAAAACUCGUAUUCGAACAAUCGAGGAGAGGAGUUAAAGGCUUAAAACCAUCCCCCUUUUCAUUUAGUUUAUUAUAAGAAUGAUUUGAUUUAAUUAUGCCUAAGCGGAU